UACGUAGGGUCCGAGCGUUGUCCGGAAUUAUUGGGGCGUAAAGGGCUCGUAGGCGGUUAGUCACGUCGGGAGUGAAAACUCAGGGGCUCAACCCUGAGCGUGCUUCCGAUACGGGCUGACUAGAGGUAUGCAGGGGGAGAACGGAAUUCCUGGUGUAGCGGUGGAAUGCGCAGAUAUCAGGAGGAACACCGGUGGCGAAGGCGGUUCUCUGGGCAUUACCUGACGCUGAGGAGCGAAAGCAUGGGGGAGCGAACAGG
rnacentral:rRNA from 1 species